rnacentral:rRNA from 1 species
UGGUGGAGCGAUUUGUCUGGUUAAUUCCGAUAACGAACGAGACUCGGGCCUAUUAAAUAGUUCGCCGAUUCCGAUCUGUCGGCGUUAACUUCUUAGAGGGACAAGUGGCUUUUAGCCACGCGAGAUUGAGCAAUAACA